UCCUGCGAAGUUAUUUCAUCCUGCAAAGGUUGCCUUUGAUUUGAGCUGAGCUUGAAGCGGGCCGUGGAAUACGGCUUCAAGGUUGACUUAACUUUCCUGUUGACAAUGUGAAAUCAAGUCUCGGGUGCAAUCGGGAAUGUUCAAACAAGAAAGACGACUGUCUUCUUGAAGAGAAUCUUCUUAAUCAAUGGGUGACUGAGGGAGGAUGCUACUUUGGAGUUCCGCCAUCUUGAUCUUCAGAAAGCCAGGUGGAUUAAAGCCGUGCUGCGAGUGGAAUGUGAAAUAAUGAUUAAUGUCUCACCACUUCCUCAUCUGGAGUCCCUCCACCGCAGCGGGUUCUCCUGCUCCUUUUCAAACGCUUUAUAAGCUGCCUGGGGCUUUCACGGGGAUAAGAAAAUCCGGAGAAAGUGAUUGGAGAAGGUCGUCACGCAGUGCCGUGUGUCUGGAGCGCAUCCUCCAAUGUGGAUCUCCGGAACGAGACCAUGAUGUCAUUAUCUUCCCCGCAGCAUACAAAGCCACGCAACACAAAGCAUAAAACACUGGGGUGCAACAGCAUGGAAACCAAAUUUCUGGGCAGUCUCACAAAUGCCCACCAGUCAGCAACACAUCAUGAGCUGGUGCCAAUGACACACUCAUCUCCAGGCUGUCAUGUCUUAUUGGUGACCCCGUUUACCCUGGAUGCCACAUUGCAGCAUUGUAUUAAAACAAGGAUCCAAGGAGGGGGGGAGGUCACUUUGACUUAUGAGUUUUGUGUUGGUGUCAAAAAAGCGCAGCAUCAGAUGCCUGUCACUUCAGCUCAUUCAAGUCAAUCCUUUCCCCCCCCCCCAAACUUUGCUGACAGAAGAGAAGAAUGCUGACUGACACAAGGAGACUGUAAAUGCACAACGAGGACGUGCAAGAGGAGCGAAAUCAAACCUAGUACCCUGCUGUUUGUCCUCGUUGUGCAGCCAAGACGGAGACCCAAAGAAUAGCAGCUAUUUCACAGCUAAAAUUACCUCAGGCACAUCCAAUAACGGUACCAAACGAAGCUUGUAGCUCAGUUGUUGCAGUCAGUGUUGUUUUGUUGUCGCUUUUGCUUGUACGCAAAAAGUUAUAAUAGAUUUCACUUUUCUAAAGCUUUUGUAGUUAAUUCCCUGACAGAACACUUACCAAUUUGGAAAUAAAAAAAGAGGCUUCAUAAGUGCUGAUGGACAGCCCUUAACAAAUGUCGGAGCAGUACAUGCUUUACGGUCAGCUGCAAGCUCCAGUAAGCAUAGAUAUGCGCUAUUCAAAGUCAAGGCACAUCAAAUGAAAGGAGUCUCCAAACACGGUGAUUCUAAUUGAAUGGUUGAUGGACUUGCAAA